rnacentral:rRNA from 1 species
AACGAACGCUGGCGGCAUGCCUAACACAUGCAAGUCGAACGAGACCUUCGGGUCUAGUGGCGCACGGGUGCGUAACGCGUGGGAACCUGCCCUUAGGUUCGGAAUAACUCCCCGAAAGGGGUGCUAAUACCGGAUAAUGUCUUCGGACCAAAGAUUAAUCGCCUUUGGAUGGGCCCGCGUUGGAUUAGCUAGUUGGUAGGGUAAAUGCCUACCAAGGCGACGAUCCAUAGCUGGUCUGAGAGGAUGAUCAGCCACACUGGGACUGAGACACGGCCCAGACUCCUACGGGAGGCAGCAGUGGGGAAUAUUGGACAAUGGGCGAAAGCCUGAUCCAGCAAUGCCGCGUGAGUGAUGAAGGCCUUAGGGUUGUAAAGCUCUUUUACCCGGGAUGAUAAUGACAGUACCGGGAGAAUAAGCUCCGGCUAACUCCGUG